rnacentral:lncRNA from 10 species
GGGCCAUCCCAAUUCAAGGCAACUUCCUAGAAUUGAAGCACUUGAGUUGCUGUGUUGGGAAGAAGCCACAAUGAAAGGAAACAGAUCUACAUGAACACACAUCAUGAAAUUUCAGUUCCCUGGAAACAAUGAGAACAUCCAGUCGUUUCCAAAGAGAAAGAAAAUGUUUGCAUACAAAAGAACAAAGAUCAAUUUCAAACUUCUCCUUGGCAACAUCGAAAACUAGAAAACAAAUGGAAAGUGCUUUCAAGUCUAAAGAAAAAUGGUUUCCAAACUAGAAUUCAGCCAAACCCUCAAUCAAGAACUGGGGUAGAAUAUAGACAUUUAAAGUUAUUCAAGGCCUCAAAAAUGUACCUUCCAUAACCUCCCUUAUAUUCCAGAAGCUAUUGUGGAAUCUGCUUCAAAACAAGGGAGUAAACCAAGAAAGAGAAAUCACGUGAGACAGGAGACAGGAGCUGCAACAUACAAGUGAACUGCACCGCCUUCCCUUCUAGACACCACCAACCCCUCUAUAGCAUCCUCAGCCUUUUCACCCUGUUUCCAUCCCACCCCCAAGAGGGUUGCUGGAAGCUUCUGGAAUCGUAAAGCUCCCUCCACCCCACCCGCUAUGUGACUCUGCUGGACCAUGCUGCUGGGUGUCCCUGGUCAGAGGCUCUGCUCUCACUGUGCCUUCCUGGACUCCACAACUGGCAGAGAUGGUGCCCAAAGCAUCACUGUGGAACCAGCUAUAGUCAGACUCUUGAAAAAUCUCAAUCCAAAUCUCCCGGGGGGGCAGAGCUCAUCUCCCAGGCCUGGCCUCACAUCCAGGACCAGGAUUAGCAUGAGGCAAGUGAGGCAUUUCCUUUGGUAGCAAAAUUUAAGAGGGUGCAAAAAAUCCAGAAAGCAAUAUAAAUAAAAUUUUAAUGCAAUAUUUUUUAAAAAUCAAAAUUAAUGCAAAAGUGAACCAUAACGUUCAAAAUAAUGUAAGCAAAAUAACAAUAUCUGAGGUAAAGAAAGGAUGGAUAUUGCUUUUUUUGCCUUGGUCUCCAGUGUGGCUCAGAUUAGUGCUGUACUGAUGCUGUGCUAUCUGAAUGUCACUGUUACUUGUCCUGAAAGCUUAAAAAUUUGGGAGGGGUGGCUGGGCACAGGGGUUCAUGCCUAUAAUCCCAGCACUUUGGGAGGCUAAGGCAGGGGGAUUGCUUGAGCCCAGAGUUUGAGACCAGCCUGGGGAACAUGAUGAGACUCUGUCUCUACAAAAAAUUUAAAAAUUAGCUGAAAAUGGUAGCACAUGCCUUGCCUGUGGUGUCAGUUGCUCGGGGGGCUGAGGUGGGAGGAUCACUUGAGCCCAGGAGGUCAAGGUUGCAGUGAGCUGUGUUCUCACCACUGCACUCCAGCCUGGGUGACAGACCGAGACCCUGUCUCAAAAAUGAUAAUAAUUAUUUGGGAGGGAAAUAUACUGAUGUCUGCAACUUUUGAAUGUUGUUUUUUUUUUACAGGUAGACUGUUGGAUGGAUAGAUGGAUAGGUAUGGGGUAGAUACAGUGUUUUAAACUGUUAAUCAUCCAGUCUAGGCGGCGGUGGGUGUGGGUGUAUGUAUGUUCAGUGUGGAAUUCUUUCACCUUUUCUAUACAUUAGAAAUUCUUCAUAAUCUUGAAAAGGAAAAAACGAAAGAGCUAUGAGAAGGACACCCAAGGCUGGCUCUCUGAGGUCAAACAAGUGCAACGAAUGAAUCCUUGGCUGUCCAGGACUGAGUACCCUACCACACCCUCACUCAUGGUGAGGAUGGAGCCCACCUAGGGACCUGCCCCCUCCUUGACCAAAGCCUCUCUCUGGCUCUUGUCCCUGAAGUCCCCUCUAGAAUAGCAAGGCCUGGAUCCUCUCCACUUCCUGGAUGGCCCCCAUGGAGCCUGUUUGGCUCCCUCCCUACCAGGUCUUUAAGUGAGGAACACUCAGUCCCUGGGAUAAGACGGUGUCAUAUAACAAAACAUGUUCAAUAAUAAGCAUCCAUCCAUGUUUGGGGAAAAAUGACUAAAAACUUUUGUAAUGUUGAGGACCUGAAAUAAAGCACUAGAAAGAAGCAAUGCUUAUCAACUAAGCAGGAGGUGGGGUAGGGGGAGACAAGAAGCAUUUAGGACUAGGGUGGAGAACCGUCCUUGCGGGCCGGCAGUUUGCGCUCUCACCGCUAGGGGGCGAGGCAGGGCGGUCUUGGGACCGUGCGAUCGCGAUCCUGGGUUCCGCCGGCGCACGUGGGUCUUGGUGGUUCCAGGUCCUGGCCCCAAGGCAAGGGGCCAGGUACACCUACACACUUAUGCUGCGGACCCAGGUGGGGACAGCUUACAGGGUCUGCAGCACGUCCAGCUAGGGUGCCCCAUAAGAACUGAUGUGAGCCCUGUGGGGCUGACGCGGAUUCCUCCUCUCCUUCUCAAUCCGAUCCCAGAAUGAGCCUUGCCAGAACUAUCUGCUCUCUUGGACUUGCACAGCGAGCCCACUGCGAGGAAAGCUGGGACUUCUUCCUUUCAACAUCUACCUUUACGCUUUAGUGAUGGUGGAGGUGGGGGUAGAUGGGUGGGGGAGAUGAGAGGUGCAGAGACGGGUGCCAUCCACUCCUCCUCCUUAUUUCUCUCAGUAGCCUGGAUGCGAGUCCGGGUAUCGGUGUCCUACCGACCAGGGUUUCGGGUUUCCCUUGGGCGUCUAGGGUGCUAGUUCUCCCGCCCCUGCCACCCUCAGGAUUCGCCCCCUAGGACAAGAGACGCUGCAAGCUGAGCACAAAACCUGGAGCCAGGAUUAGUGGAGCGGAUCCAGGCGAGCCCGCAGAGUUGGCGCCGCUAUCCGGAGCCUGCCUAGUGUCUCCUUCGACCUUUUAAAGACGGGAAGGACAGAGAUGGUGCAGCGUGACGCUCCCACCUUCCCUUCCACCAUAGAAGUCCGGGAUUUUUCUGAAGGCGACACACUGACUCGGAGAGCACCCCAGGGUCCGUGGACCCGCUGAGAAACCUUGGGAGUUGGGGCGGGGGAAGAACAAUCAGCUCCCCACCCCACCCCUCGGCCCCAGGCCUGGGAGACGUCAGUGGUCAUGGGAAGACGAGAAACUGAGGACCCUUCAGCCAGUGCCGGAUCCUGAACACGCGACAAUAGUGACCCCGGGGAAUUAGGCCGAAGGUAGCGGACUUCUCAGAUGGCCCGUUUUAAAGCAUUAGAGCCACAGUGAUGGCUGAGGACACCGGGUCCUAUCCCUCCUCCCUUCCCACUCCAGGUCUGUGGCCGCAGAACCAGGGUGAUGCGAGGUCACCUCUGUCGCAGGCGCUUUAGGGAGCACGCCCACCCGGAUGCUCGGCACACACGCACACACGCACACACACUUACCAAGGUUCUCACAACACACGAUGCAGCCUGCCCCACCCCACACGCAUAUCUUCACCUAGCCUCUCACAUGCCCCUUGCAAGCGGGCGGGGAGCAACACACACCCUACUUAGGCAUUCUCCCUGGCUUCUUUCCCGUGCACCAUUCGCACCUGGAGAAGUCGUUCCUAACGAAGCCUCUGCCUCCGUGGUGACAGCGGACCCUGGAACCCACCCAGCGGACUUGCACUCCCAGCUCCCACCCAGAAAGUCUGACUCUGACCUUUCCCAACAGUCCCUGGACUGGCCCUCCUGGAGUCAGUGCAGGUGCUGCGCCUGGAGUGGGAUCAGCACAAAAAAGACUAGAUCUUUCGGGUAAUUCAGGCAAACACUUUAUCAGACAGGCUGCGCAAGAUAGGGGGAGACUGGGACCCUACAACUUGAGGCUGUUGAUUCUAGAGUCAGAUCUCUUUGCUAUGGCUGUGCAAACCCCACCUUGGAUUGCACGGCAGGGUUCUCCUGGGUGGCAGAUGCCUCCUGCCGGGCCAGAUUGGCUCGUGGCUCUGGGGACCUGGUGAAAGGCACAGCCCACUUCUGACUUCCUUUGUAGCCCUCUUCACAAUCUGAAGUCACGUUGUGGAUUCCUGCCUGUCCUUGUUUAUUGCCUGUCUCCACCUCACUAGACUGUAAGCUCCCGGAAGGCAAGGCUGAGUUUCUUUCCCCAGGUUUCCAACACUGCCCCAGCCCUGAUUGGCUGUUUAUAAAUAUUUGUUGAACAAAUUUAUAAAGUUCUGGUACAUAAAAGCUCCCCCUGUCCCUCUCUGUUUUGAGGUUGGAAGUUGAGAGCUUCCACCAAAUUCUCAGAUGGACCCGCCC